GUGCUCACUUUGGCAGCACAUUUACUAAAAUCGCAAUGACAUAGAGCAGAUUAGCAUGGCCCCUGCACAAGAAAGACACAAAGAUUUGUGAAGCAUUUCCUAUUUUU
rnacentral:snRNA from 1 species